AGUAAAUGGUAGGCUGCCCCAGUCAUUGUUGACUCAUGCUUGCUAAAAACUUUACCAGACUGACUGAUUUUAGUGACAUAGUGGGUGUAAAAUAUUGAAUAAAAUGUUGUGCUUCAUGACUGGCUUCAUUUAAUUUAACUUUAUGACACACAAAUUUAGUCCUUAUUGUCUCCAAGUGUAUUCUGGGUAAAGCUUGUCACCCGCCGUCCACCAAACGUCAUCAUCGGUCACUUGGCAACAGAUGGCAAACGAGCUAGCUAGAGCAUUUCUACAUACUAAGCUAACAUGAGUGAAGCUCCAUGGAGCGACGAGGAAAAACUAGACGAAUAUUUUGUUCCUGUCUUGAAGAUGAACCAGCGAUUAUUCACAAAAUUCCCUUGGGAGAGCUGCGCAGUGUGUUGCGUCCUCUGAGGAUUGGGAGCAGAUGUCCUGGAAUCUGGUUAAGAAACUCCUGAACUGCUUUGUGAAUGUGGAUCUCUUUUGCUUCCUGUUCCCAAGCCUGAUUUCGCCACCUGGGAGAGCGCUAGUUACCAGAAGCCUCAACCAACAUCUUGAUGAGACAUCUUAAAGGCCUUUUAAGGAUGUACAGGCAGACAGAAGAAGGUGAACGACUUAGACAAACCAAUAGGAACCCCUGAAGGAUUUUCAGUCAAAUAACUGCAUGGGAAUGCUUCGUACCCUUUGUUUCUGCUCCUCGGUGCGGACGUCGCUGCG